CAAAGUGCUGGGAUUAUAGGCAUGAGCCACCGUGCCCGGCCGAUUCUCCCUGUCUCCUCUAAGAGCCUCACACCCAUGGAUCUGAUACUAAUUCACAUACCAAAGACUGUGAACUGAAGAGAUAGACUACCACCACUGAGUCACAGACUAUCCCUUGCAUAGGACAUGGCCUGAUACACCUGAAGUGCAGUAUAAAGGCUUUGAAACUGAACUGAUACUGGCACUACAGCCUACGGGAGGAAAAUUGGAACUUACGGCCUGAACCUAACAAUUUUCCUAAUCUUAAAAAAUAUCAACAUUCUCCAGUGGAUUUAAACAAGACAUAUUCAAAAUGUCCAGCAUGCAAUCCAGAAUUACUCAACUUACAAAGAACAUCAAAAAUUCGUAAGAAAAAAGACCAUCAGCAGAUGUCAAGGCCAAGAUGACACUGAUGUUGGAAUUACCUGACAAAGACUUUAAGGUGAUUUUUGUUAAAAUGCUUGGAGAGAAAUCAUGAAAAUUUUUGAAACAAAUUUUAAAAUAGAAAUUCUCAGCAAAUAAAUAAAGAUAUUAAGAAGAGCUAGUGCUCAAUUCACUAGGCUUUCCCUCUGCCGUGGAGACCAGCAAUGUUCUAGCCCAAGUGAUAAAUAAAGGACGACAUGGAGCAGAAUACUCAACUCACCUGUGAUAGACGUGUAAUAUUAAUGAGGAGUAAACCUGGUUGUCUUAAACCACUGAAAUGCAUGUGUUGCUCCUUACAGCAGCAUAACCUAACCUAUCCUGACUGAUAUAACUGAAUACUCUGAAUUUUAUGAUCUAAUAAAACUUUACAUAUUGGUAUCAGGGAAGUGAACAUUUUGGACCAAAACUAGUAUUUACUCCAUGUUAAAUCUCCAGAUAAAUUCUAUAACUCUUCCAAGAUAAGCACCUAAUUGCUGAUUAAGCCCUCUUCUUAAGAGACACAGAUAGUAUAGUUCAUCUAGC
rnacentral:lncRNA from 10 species